ACUUGGUCAUUUAGAGGAAGUAAAAGUCGUAACAAGGUCUCCGUUGGUGAACCAGCGGAGGGAUCAUUACCGAGUUAUUCAACUCAUCAACCCUGUGAACUUACCUAUACGUUGCUUCGGCGGGAAUAGACGGCCCCGUAAAACGGGCCGCCCCCGCCAGAGGACCCUUAACUCUGUUUCUUUUAGUGUAUCUUCUGAGUAAAACAAGCAAAUAAAUUAAAACUUUCAACAACGGAUCUCUUGGCUCUGGCAUCGAUGAAGAACGCAGCGAAAUGCGAUAAGUAAUGUGAAUUGCAGAAUUCAGUGAAUCAUCGAAUCUUUGAACGCACAUUGCGCCCGCCAGUAUUCUGGCGGGCAUGCCUGUUCGAGCGUCAUUACAACCCUCAGGCCCCCGGGCCUGGCGUUGGGGAUCGGCGGAGCCCCCCGUGGGCACACGCCGUCCCCCAAAUACAGUGGCGGUCCCGCCGCAGCUUCCAUCGCGUAGUAGCUAACACCUCGCGACUGGAGAGCGGCGCGGCCACGCCGUAAAACACCCAACUCUUCUGAAGUUGACCUCGAAUCAGGUAGGAAUACCCGCUGAACUUAAGCAUAUCAAUAAGCGGAGGAUGGAGUGCCUAC
rnacentral:rRNA from 1 species